CUGAGCAGGGUUUUGUUUGCAAGAAGCAACAUUGUUUGAUCUGUCAUUGUACCAAAGGGGGAGAUGGUUGUCUACAAAGGAAGAGUGAAGACUAAAUGCAUCCGAUGAGGAUGGGAUUCGAACCCAUGCGUGCAAAGCACAAUGGAUUAGCAGUCCAUCACCUUAACCACUCGGUCACCUCAUCUGAGGUGUCAGGAAAUGGACAGGAUGAGAAAUCUAAGGCCAGCAGAGACAGGGACACUAAGGUGUUCUUAAAUACUAAGUGGAAGCAGGGGCUGAAUGAGCUCCCCCCUCACACGUACUGACCAGCUGUGGGAAAGGCUUCAGGAACAGACCAUGUUUGCAUAGACACACCUACUCUGCCUAGAAACCUCCCUUGUGUUUCAGACUGUGCAGUGACGCCCUCCCCACCCCAGGCCUCUGGAGCCUUUGGAGCAGAAAGAUCCCAGGAGCUGAGGAGGAAUCCAGGGGUACCUGGGGUUCUUUGCCAGGAGGAGAAAAGAGGUUCCUGCCUCUGUUUUUGUGGCCUUAACAAACCAGGUGUUGUGCCCCAGUUCUCAUCUGAGAUCCCUGAAGAAGAACAUCUUCCCACCCUUCAACAAGACAGGACCUAUCUUUAAAAGGGAACAAAGAGAACUCUGAGACUUACUAGCUCGCCUCACUUCCAUAGCUGGAGAGAUACUGGAGUACAUUCUUAAACAAUCAGUUUGUCAGCAGCACCUACAGGAUAAUUUGGUUCUUAGGACUAGUGAGCAUGGAUUUGUCAAGAACAAAUCAUUCCAAACCAAUCCUCUUUCCUUCUUUGGCAGGGUUCUGGGCCUAGUGUAGGUGGGUAAACAAUAGAUGGGAUCUAUCUUGGUAUUACAAAGGCUUUUGACACAGUCCCGUAGGACAUUCUCACAAGCAAACAAGGGAAAUGUGGUCUAGAUGCAAUCAGUGUGAUGUGGGUGUAGAGCUGGUUGAAAGCUCAGACUCCAAGAGCCCUUCUCCAUGUCUGGCUGU